AGAGUUUGAUCAUGGCUCAGAUUGAACGCUGGCGGUAACUUUUAAACAUGCAAGUCGAGCGGUAACAGACAUAAAGAUUCAGCUUGCUGAAUCCGGUGCUGACGAGCGGCGAACGGGUGAGUAACGCGUAGGAAUCUACCCAGUAGCGGGGGAUAGCCCGAGGAAACUCGGAUUAAUACCGCAUACGCCCUGAGGGGGAAAGGGGGCAAUUUAUUGCUCUCACUAUUGGAUGAGCCUGCGUAAGAUUAGCUUGUUGGUAGGGUAAUGGCCUACCAAGGCGACGAUCUUUAGCUGGUCUGAGAGGACGAUCAGCCACAUUGGGACUGAGACACGGCCCAGACAUCUACGGAUGGCAGCAGUUAAGAAUAUUGGACAAUGGGGGCAACCCUGAUCCAGGUAUACCGCGUGUGUGAAGAAGGCCCUAGGGUUGUAAAGCACUUUAAUCAGAGAAGAAGCAUUUUAAGUUAAUACCUUAAUUUGUUGACGUUAACUGAUGAAUAAGGACCGGCUAACUCCGUGCCAGCAGCCGCGGUAAUACGGAGGGUCCAAGCGUUAAUCGGAAUUACUGGGCGUAAAGCGCGCGUAGGCGGUUUAGCAAGUUGUAUGUGAAAGCCCUGGGCUCAACCUAGGAACUGCAUCCAAAACUACUAAGCUAGAGUGCGAGAGAGGAGAGUAGAAUUUCUGGUGUAGCGGUGAAAUGCGUAGAUAUCAGAAGGAAUACCAAUGGCGAAGGCAGCUCUCUGGCUCGUCACUGACGCUGAGGUGCGAAAGCGUGGGUAGCAAACAGGAUUAGAUACCCUGGUAGUCCACGCC
rnacentral:rRNA from 1 species